rnacentral:lncRNA from 10 species
CAGAGUCUCACUCUGUCACCCAGGCUGAAGUACAGUGGCGCAAUCUCGGCUUACCGCAACCUCAGCCUCCCAGGUUCAAGCGAUUCUCCUGCCUCAGCCUCCCAAGUAACUGGGAUUACAGGUCCUGAACUACUUCAGUGAAGAAAAUGAACAGUGUCCACUACUCAAUAGAGGUCUCAUUCUAGAAGGAGAAAUAGAACAAAAAAUAAAAAGAGGAAAUUAUAUAUGAAAUCUCCAGAGUGGAGAAAGUUAGACAUUUUAGUCAAGGUCAUGAGGAAACACCUCAGUGAGAAGGGAUGGAAUGUGGCUGUCCAGGCAAGGAGCUUCUUAGGCAAUAGAAAAUCAGUCCUCUCCUGAACUGCAUCUGACUGAUAAUCUCAUAUAUUGACUUAAAAAUAGGGCACUUUCUUCAACUAGGAGACCUUUGCCAGAGCAUGUGAAGACCUUCUUGGCAAACACCAGCCAUGCUCACUUCUCACCAUCCCCCAGUGCCACCUACUCUCUGCUCAACACUCUCCAUGCCCCUCCCAGAGCCAUUGAUCCCGUUCCACCAGAAGAUCACAUCUUAGAAAUGCCCCAGACAUCGUUGGACAUUUCUUCAUGCUUCAUGAGCUUCAAAAUCUUUUAAAAAUUUAAUGCGCUUAUGAAUCUCUAACAAGCUCCUAAAUAACUUGUAUGCUAUUGUUAAAAAACUCCAAAUAUUAAUAAGUAUUAGUAAAAUGUUGCUGUUAAUAGUAAAUCAGCUAAGCGUCAAAAUGCUACCUGGAAAAGCAAGCAGAAUAGACAUUCCAAUGUUAAAGGGCAUCAAGAGCAAGACUCUUAAAGAGCCUAUGAAAUCAUUUAAGUGUGAGAUAAAAAGGUUGGGAAUUUCAUACAUAUUUAGCAUUGCCUGAGAAAUGUCUCUAAGUUUUUCUUUUUUCACUCUAGAAUAUUACCAAAGUUGCAGUUAAUUACAUUUCUGCUGCUACAAAAACAUUUUUUCAUGCCUCAGUGAUUCAUGAAUCUUCCAUUGUGUGUAUUAGGCAGCAGCUCUUGUAGACAAUGACAGAGAAUAAAAUGCUUCCAGAGGAAACACGAUUCAGGUGUCUGUUUUUGGGUUAUGCGGUGUCAGAUUGGUCCCAUUGUGCUUCAGAGAGCAUUUGUUAUUUUGUGAUAUGGCUACAGACAGGUUUAAGAUCCAGAUCAUCAUCUUACUUCAAAGAGUGUGAAUAAAUGAUUCAAGAAAGAAAAAUAAGAAUGGAGUAUUUGGAUAACAAUAUAUUCUCAAUUUAAAACGGUUUAUGAAGGGAACAAACAUACCAUGCAAAUGAGAAGCAGUUUUAGAAGGGGAAGUGUUGUGCUUCAUCACAACUAAUUAUUACUUGAAUAUUUAUUAGUAGUAUGAGAAACUAAAUGUCUAUGGCCAUACCACCCUGAACGUGCCGGAUCUCAUCUGAAAAGGAAAAAAUAGCUUCUACUUUCAAUGGUGAGAUAUAAACAAAAGUUCUCUUUCAUUACGCUUAACAAAAAAUGUGCAUCUUUAAAUUUUUUUUUUUUUUUUUGAGAUGGAGUCAUGCCCUGUCACCCAGGCUGGAGUGUAGUGGCCCGAUCUCAGCUCACUGCAAGCUCUGCCUCCCAGGUUCAUGUGAUUCUCCUGCCUCAACCUCCCCAGUAGCUGGGACUACAAAUGCACACCACCAUGCCCUGUUA